ensembl:lncRNA
GGUUAAGGGAACCGUUUCUAAAAAGACUGUAACAAGGGCAAUAUCAAUAAAUAUGCUAACGUGGAAGAGGGGAAAUUUCAUCGGUUCUCAUCGCUAAACAGAGAAAUACAGUUCUACAGCAUGGAACAGAGAGCUCUCUAAAGAUGACAAGAUGCUUGUGUUUGAUCUUUAUCGCCACUGGGUUGCUAGGAGUUUCCAGGUCCACACACCCCCACUCAGGCAGAACCUCAUGGAUUAAUGCUGAGACAUGGUGGGCCACGACAAAAUGGCACCACCACCUCAGGGUCUGAGAACGGGGGAAGAAGCCAUGGACACCACGAAGAAAUGGACAAGGCAGAGGCUUGGACACUUGGAAGAGAUAGUCGUCGUGGGCGAACCGGUUGGAGAAGAAGCAUGAGCAGAAAAAAGAAAAAAGAAGUGGCCGAAUGUGGUGGAGAACGACGUGUGCUGGCUUCUGGAUCGGUUGAUGAGAUGCAUGGAGCAGAGAGGAAUUGGACCUGGGCCCACAGGAGACUGUCGGAACCAGCUGGAGUGAAACACUGAACCUGUAUUCCUGAACUUUGAGGGCAUCUGACCUACAGCUGGAGGCAGAAAGGAGACCCACCCAGUUCCAGUUUUGAGAUGCUUUCCAGAGUUCCAGCUUCCCUACAGACGGACUACAUUCACCUCUCUGAAUCCAUGACUGCUCACCCAGGAGCAGACUUAAGAACUCGACAAAAAAUAGCUUGCUUUCUUGCCACAAACAAACACACAAAAUUGUUUUGCCAGUUUUCCCGUUGGGAAAAAGGACCCAUUUAGGGCAGUCGGAUACUGGCAUAAACCAGAGUGGCAGAAGCUCCUUCACAAUGCUUAAACAAGACAUGGACAAAAGACUUUUUAGUUAACUUUCAAAGACUGAUAUUACAAACCUGAUGUUAGUGUAAGACCCUCAGAAAGCUGAGGCUUCCAGAAUCUUAGCCCAGGACGGCGGCCACCCCAAACACAGAAUGGAGGCGAAAGCUUGAUGCAAACUGCAUGAGGCUUUAUUGUAGUUUAACGAGCUAACCCCAUGUUAGCUCGGGUCUUUCACCCACCCGCCAUGGCGGAUGGCGAGAAAAUACGGCUCCUACGGGCUCCCAAAAGAUCUUAUAGGGCAGCCUAAGGGGAGUGUCUAGGGGUACGCACAGGCUUACGCACAGGCUCACGAUUGGUGUGCUUCCAGGCUUGGAAGGCUUGCCCUGUAUUGAUUGGUCAACUGGUUGUUAUAGCCCAUAGGCCCUCCCAGGGUGGUUGCUAUGCUCUCUACGUCACUGUCGUGCGCUUGUCCAUAAAGCACACCCAGGGUCGUAAAGCAUAGCGCCACCAGCUAACUUCUGAUUGGUUCCUUGUCACAAGACAGGCAUCUGACCUCUAAGUGACUAAGGUUCCUUGUCACGAGACAGGCAUCUGACCUCUACGUGACCAAGGCAGGUUUAUGGCAAGCACGUGUUCGGCUGUUAUGGCUGCCAAAAGGAAGCUGGUUCCUUCAUUCCCCCAUUUUCUUUUUUGUAAAUUCCAAUCAUGGAAUUGCUGUCUCUCUAGCAUCCCCAUCAGGGAGUGAUAGAUAUUGGCAUCCCCAUGUAAGGGAGUUCCUUUUGACUUAGCAUUUUAACCAGGGAAAAUGGACGGCGAAAUUUCUUUCCAAACUGCUUCCUGCUGACUUUGGGACGAAGUUAGGGACCCCAGAAGGUUGAAAUGCUAGUCAAAAGCAAAAAGGAAUUUAGGCAAUGGGGAAUCCAUCAGGGGCUUCUGGUUAGCAGACACUGUUGCAGAGACAGGGGGUGUCCAUAUCAGCUGGACUGGUUCACAUCCACAGCAAGUCCAGGGCUCGCAGUCUACUUAGAACAGCCUGUAGUCAGCAACUGAUACUCAGAUGUCAGCCAGAAGCAGAAACCUGUUUAAGACAUGUUUAAACUAGGAACAGAGGUUAAAACUUAUUUACUGAAGCCCACAGUGCAGAAAAAGCAGAUAUCUGGAUAUCUGUUCAAACAGCAGGAACAUAUUUAUAACUUUGGGUCCUAGCAAAAACUACAGAUUUGGGCUAUAAGCAUGUACAUUUUUCUUCUGUCCAGAGAGCCAGGUAUGGAUUGGACAGAGGUGCCUUUGGCCUGAUGAAAAGCCCUUUAAGUUUGUACUUAGAUGACAACCAAAAUAAACUUAAAAACCUUGAGCUUGUGCCUGAACAGUAGAUAGUCAUUAUUUUAUCAGCUAACAUACUUACUAGUCUAUAGUGGAUCUGACUGCCUGAUGCUGUCAAGCUGACAACCAGUAAUAUUUCA